UGACCCGUCUUGAAACACGGACCAAGGAGUCUAGCGUGUGCGCAAGUCAUUGGGUAGCAUUAAACCUAAAGGCGCAAUGAAAGUAAAUGUUCGUCUCGCGCGAACAUAGGGAAGACGGUAGGUCCUGCGGGAACUACCUGCACUCCCGGGGCGUCUCGUUCUCAUUGCGAGAGGAGACGCACCAAGAGCGUACACGCUGGGACCCGAAAGAUGGUGAACUAUGCCUGGUCAGGACGAAGUCAGGGGAAACCCUGAUGGAGGUCCGUAGCGAUUCUGACGUGCAAAUCGAUCGUCGGAACUGGGUAU
rnacentral:rRNA from 2 species